CUGGCUCAGAAUGAACGCUAGCGGUAAACUUUACACAUGCAAGUUGAACGUUCUUUUUUUAUAA
rnacentral:rRNA from 1 species